AGAGGGAGACACAGAAUCAGAAACAGGCUCCAGGCUCUGAGCCAUCAGCCCAGAGCCUGACGCGGGGCUCGAACCCACGGACCGCGAGAUCGUGACCUGGCUGAAGUCGGACGCUUAACCAACUGCGCCACCCAGGCGCCCCCAUGAAGAUGCAAUUCUUAUGAAAAUCUGCAGAUCUAUCCACUUUCUGCUGUAAGUGAAGCAACAGGCCGACCCUGCACUGCCAGAUGGAACGUGUGCAGCACAUUUCCAACCAGCUUUUCCAGUACUCCAAACCCAGGCAGAACUAAAAUUCUAGAC
rnacentral:lncRNA from 1 species